CGAACGGGUGAGUAACACGUGAGCAACCCACCCCGAAGACCGGGAUAACAGCGGGAAACCGCUGCUAAUACCGGAUGUCCCCACGGGACCGCAUGAUUCUGUGAGGAAAUGGAUUCCGCUUCGGGACGGGCUCGCGGGCUAUCAACUAGUUGGUGGGGUAACGGCCUACCAAGGUGACGACGGCUAGCUGGUCUGAGAGGACGAUCAGCCACACUGGGACUGAGACACGGCCCAG
rnacentral:rRNA from 1 species